rnacentral:rRNA from 1 species
UACAGAGGUGGCAAGCGUUGUUCGGAAUUACUGGGCGUAAAGGGCGCGUAGGCGGCGGCUCAAGUCGGGGGUGAAAUCCUCUCGCUUAACGAGAGAAUUGCUUUCGAUACUGGGUCGCUGGAGGGAGAUAGGGGUGCGCGGAACUUCCGGUGGAGCGGUGAAAUGCGUAGAUAUCGGGAGGAACACCAGUAGCGAAGGCGGCUCGCUGGGCCAUUCCUGACGCUGAGACGCGAAAGCUAGGGGAGCGAACAGG